UCAGUGAGGUGUAAUGCUGGACAUGGUAGCUUACACCUGUUAUCCCAGCAUUUGGAAGGAAGGCAGAGGAUCAGGAGUGCAGCAUCGUGCUGGGCCGUAGGACAAAUAGAUGCUGAACAAACCAGCAAAGAUAAGCAUGCAGUCGUGUGACUCCCUAGUAAGGUAGACUGCGGUCCCGAGUGUUCUCCUGCACCCCGGCUGUCCCUCGCCCACCCUUGGGUCCUGGCCUUAUUCUUUUGGUUGGCCUACGUUUAGUUGCUGUCUGAGGUUUCCCUUCAGAACUGGUUCUUUCUGGGACAUUCAAGUUCUUUUGUUCUUUGCUCUGACCUCUCCUGCUUUCCUGGUUGUUGGACCCUUUGGAACUUGUGGGGCCUGGGACCCCAUGUGCAGGCUUAUCCCGUGUGGCUCAGUGCUGCCGACUAAGGGCACAUGGUUUAGCGAGUAUAAUGGAGUCUCAGUUGUUGACCAAGGUUUGGGGUUUUGAGUUCUGUUGCUGUCCUUCCAGCCUAGACACUGUCAGGCACAACCCUAAUGUCAGGAACUUGUGAGCACUGGUAAAGAAUUAAAGGCACACAUACUGGUCCGUAGGACCCAGCCCGGUGCCUGCAUGCCUUCCUAAGGACUGCUUCAUGAGUUGGUUUGAAGCCUGCCCUUCUGUGAGACUGAUCGAAUCUUUCCAGUCCUCACUGUGGCCCGCUGCCUACUCUGUUCUAUUUAUGCUUGCUGUGUGCUUGCUGCUCUUACCUGGUUGCAUUUGGUUAUACAUUUCCUCUCGAGCUUCCAUAGCUCUUUACCCACAGGGAAUGGUGGGAAGAGAAUGGCAGAGAUUGUCAUUUGAAAAGCACACUAUCUUAGCACUCAAGAGGCUGAGGCAGGAGGAUCACAAGUUUGGGACCAGCUACAUAACAAAAUCCUAUCUCAAAAAAAAAAAAAAAA
rnacentral:lncRNA from 1 species